AGAACGCUGAAGGAGGAGCUUGCUUCUCUGGAUGAGUUGCGAACGGGUGAGUAAGGCGUAGGUUGCAAGUAACCUGCCUGGUAGCGGGGGAUAACUAUUGGAAACGAUAGCUAAUACCGCAUAAGAGUGGAUGUUGCAUGACAUUUGCUUAAAAGGUGCACUUGCAUCACUACCAGAUGGACCUGCGUUGUAUUAGCUAGUUGGUGGGGUAACGGCUCACCAAGGCGACGAUACAUAGCCGACCUGAGAGGGUGAUCGGCCACAGGAGUUUUGAGACACGGCCCAGACUCCUACGGGAGGCAGCAGUAGGGAAUCUUCGGCAAUGGACGGAAGUCUGACCGAGCAACGCCGCGUGAGUGAAGAAGGUUUUCGGAUCGUAAAGCUCUGUUGUAAGAGAAGAACGAGUGUGAGAGUGGAAAGUUCACACUGUGACGGUAUCUUACCAGAAAGGGACGGCUAACUACGUGCCAGCAGCCGCGGUAAUACGUAGGUCCCGAGCGUUGUCCGGAUUUAUUGGGCGUAAAGCGAGCGCAGGCGGUUAGAUAAGUCUGAAGUUAAAGGCUGUGGCUUAACCAUAGUAGGCUUUGGAAACUGUUUAACUUGAGUGCAAGACGGGAGAGUGGAAUUCCAUGUGUAGCGGUGAAAUGCGUAGAUAUAUGGAGGAACACCGGUGGCGAAAGCGGCUCUCUGGCUUGUAACUGACGCUGAGGCUCGAAAGCGAGUUUAGCAAACAGGAUUAGAUACCCUGGUAGUCCACGCUGUAAACGAUGAGUGCUAGGUGUUAGACCCUUUCCGGGGUUUAGUGCCGUAGCUAACGCAUUAAGCACUCCGCCUGGGGAGUACGACCGCAUGGUUGAAACUCAAAGGAAUUGACGGGGGCCCGCACAAGCGGUCGAGCAUGUGGUUUAAUUCGAAGCAACGCGAAGAACCUUACCAGGUCUUGACAUCCCUCUGACCGCUCUAGAGAUAGAGUUUUCCUUCGGGACAGUGGUGACAGGUGGUGCAUGGUUGUCGUCAGCUCGUGUCGUGAGAUGUUGGGUUAAGUCCCGCAACGAGCGCAACCCCUAUUGUUAGUUGCCAUCAUUUAGUUGGGCACUCUACCGAGACUGCCGGUAAUAAACCGGAGGAAGGUGGGGAUGACGUCAAAUCAUCAUGCCCCUUAUGACCUGGGCUACACACGUGCUACAAUGGCUGGUACUACGAGUCGCAAGCCGGUGACGGCAAGCUAAUCUCUUAAAGCCAGUCUCAGUUCGGAUUGUAGGCUGCAACUCGCCUACAUGAAGUCGGAAUCGCUAGUAAUCGCGGAUCAGCACGCCGCGGUGAAUACGUUCCCGGGCCUUGUACACACCGCCCGUCACACCACGAGAGUUUGUAACACCCGAAGUCCGUGAGGUAACCGUAAGGAGCCAGCCGCCUAA
rnacentral:rRNA from 1 species